AAAAAGGCAGGACAGAAGAACAUCA
rnacentral:piRNA from 1 species